rnacentral:rRNA from 1 species
UACGUAGGUGGCAAGCGUUGUUCGGAAUUAUUGGGCGUAAAGGGCGCGUAGGCGGUUUGUUAAGUCGGUUGUGAAAACCCGGGGCUCAACCCCGGGCCUGCAGCCGAUACGGGCAGACUAGAGUUCGGCAGGGGAGACUGGAAUUCCUGGUGUAGCGGUGAAAUGCGCAGAUAUCAGGAGGAACACCGGUGGCGAAGGCGGGUCUCUGGGCCGAUACUGACGCUGAGGAGCGAAAGCGUGGGGAGCGAACAGG